ACUAAAAACUCCGUCGCAAGCUAUUUACGUCACUACCGCCUCAAACCUCUUGAGCCUCGACGCACGUUGUACCUUCGUUGUUAGCUGUUAGUAUUUAGCAGUUGUUUUCUCAUGGCGAAUGACUAUAACAACGCGUUAUUUACUCGUGGAGCUAACCAGAGUGAUGAUUCUGACAUUUGGGAUGACACAGCACUGAUAAAGGCCUAUGACAAGGCAGUAGCAUCAUUCAAGACUGCACUUAAAGGAGAUGAAGUUCCACAGCCUUCAAAGAAAGAGCAACCCAAAAAAAAACGCAAAAGCAACAAAAAGAACCAAAGCAGAAAGAAAAACAGUGCACCAACAGAUGGACAGUGGCAGGUUGGCGACUCGUGCUGUGCUUAUUGGGCACAGGAUGGCCAACUCUACCCAGCAACAAUCUCCUCUAUAGACAAACUGAGAGGCACCUGUUUGGUGGUUUAUAAAGACUAUGGGAAUGAGGAGGAGCAGAAACUUGGAGACCUCCUCCAAAGACUUUCUGAAGGAGAGGAAGAAACAAAUGUUCAGGUAAAUGAAGCAGAGUCAUCCACAGAAGAGAGUGAGGCAUCGUCUACAGUCAACCACCACAAACAGCAGCCUCGCAGUAAAGCUCAGAAAUCCAGGGCUCAAAAGGAGGAUCCAUUUACUUUUCCUCUACAGCCACCUCCUCCGAUGUGGGGUUCUGGGUUCUCGGGGUCCUUUCCAGGCCCACCACCCAUGUAUGGCAUGAAACAGAAAGGAAGCAGACAUUCUGCUGCACAUGGCCCCGUUCCUCCGUGGCCUCCCAUGAUGAAUUUCGGUCCACCAGUGGGUUGGAAAUACAUCUUGUAUACACUCUUUGAUACUAUAACAGAUUGUCUCUGGCCCUGUGUGUUUUUGCGUCAUUCUGCUGCUGAGAUGAAAAACAAACUGUUCAUGUGUGUGUUUGCCAUUUGUCAUCUCCCAUCAUUUACAUUCUCAUCACACUCCCUCAGAUGAUUCCUCCUCCUCCUCCACCAAUGAACCCUGAUGUGGGGGAUGACGAGGCCUUGGGCAGCAUGCUCAUCUCCUGGUACAUGAGUGGAUAUCACACAGGAUAUUACCUGGGGUUGAAACAAGCUCGCAAAGACACUGACAACUGAAC